GUCCUACGUCAUCAGCACCGCGCGCCGCCCAAGGUCCGAGCCGUUGGUGAGAGGAGCGGGCUGACGGUUACGCGGGUAGCUGUUGCCGCUGUGGGGGAAAAAAAAAAGUGAGGAUGCCACUCUGGGACGUCCCUGUGGGCCGCACCGAAGCCCGCGAGCCCGGGGAACGGCAGAUGUCACCUCACGCCCGACUCCCGGUGGGCUGAGGGACUCUGUGCCCUUGUCACACUUCCUUCUCGGAGGGCUUGGACGGUGCUCUUCGCCGCCACCUCUGUUCCCGCCCGCCUUGUCAUCGUGCCUGCUGGGCGGAUUUUCCGGGCUCUGGCACCCAGUCAGCCUGUGAGUGCGGAGUCGCCCCCAGCUUGCCACCAGGGAAGUCAGAUGAUGCUGUCUUCUGUUGGUUACUUCAUAGCACUUCCAUUUUCAAAGAACAUCUUCCUGAGAAUAAACUUGGAAAGUAAUGUGACCACAAAACAUCAUAUUCACAGAGUUCAAAGGGAUAUUGGAUACAGAAUAAGAAAAUAUGAGAGAUUAAAACUCAGGAGUUGAGUUCUAGCCUGGAAAACAAGAUGAGAGAACUUUCCAGCCUGCACCAAUGUUCACAGUUCUGAUUGAAUUACAAAAUUUUUCUUCUUUUGAACUCAGAAGUCACUUGGAAACUUUGAGGGAAGUUUCACCACAUCCUUUAAGCCUUUCUUCUGGUUAGCAGGGGAGAUCCAUUAGAACUUAGAGAAAUAUCCCAGCCUCCAGUAUCAGUAGCCUUGCCAGCCUACCCCUAGGAUGCCUGGCCAGGCUUCAUUGUCAGUGUGGUUCACGGUCACAGUUUUACCUUCAGCUAGCCAUAUUUUCCUGGAUGGUCUUAAACUAUUUGCUGAGUUUGGGUUUUUUGUUUUGUCUUAUUGGAUUUUGUUUGUUUGGUUUGUUUGUUUGUUUUGCAGAGAGUUUUCAGACUUUCUGUUAGGUAAAUUUUAAAUUACCAUUAAGAAAUGCUUUCCAAGUUGUGCAUUGCCAAGUAACUGCUUCUCACUAUUCUAGUUUCGUUGGAAUUUUGGUAUUUUUAUUUUGUGUCUUGAUCUUUGGACACGAACCACACCAUUAUUAGUUUCUACUAGAGAUAUUUGUGUGUGUGGCAUGUGUACUUGAUCAUGUGUAUGUCUGCACAUAACGUGCACAUAGGUGUAGAGGACAGAGGUUGACUUUGGGUGUUUUCCUCCAUCACUCUUCCUCCUUAGGUUUUCACCGAAGGUCUCUCACUGAACCUGUGAUUCAUCAGUUCAGACAGGCUGGCUAGCCAGCAAGUUUCCAAGAUCUACAUGUCUGCCCUCUCAGGCCUGGGGUUAUCAGCCAUAUUAGAUGAGCACUUUACUAACUGAAUCAUCUACUACACCCUGUGGAAACAAUGUAUCCAGGGGAUUUUUAUCUGGGGCUUUCUUAUUCAUCUACUUUAUCUUCUUUCUAAGUAUCCUUUCCUGGCAUUUGUUACAUCACAGGCUUUUGUAUCUGUAUUUCUUGACUCCUUCCUAGUUAUUUCAGUCCUGCUUUCCCUUUUUUGUUAUCUUAGCCGGGACUCUUAAAGCGUGUGUGGGCAGCUGCUCCUCUGUGGCCUUUAUGGGCCUCUCCUCUUGAGAAAGUACUUUAUUAAGGCAAACCGCAGCUCCUGUCAGUCAGUCAGUUUCAGGGCUACAAGUACUACUUAUCAUUCUCCUCCAUAGUCAAUGCAAGUUCUAUGUCCCUUAGGUUGUUUCUUCCAUAAGCCUAAGGGCUUUGCUUGUAUGACCCAAAUCCUCAUUCCUGAAUUUAAAAAAAAAAAUGUGUAUCAGUAAUUAUUUAUAUCUUACUCUGGAAUUGCUGCACAUAUCCUUCCAAAUUACAAUUUGGAAUCAAAAUGUUCCCAGAUCAGUUACCUAUAUGUUUUUCUCUGCCUACCAUCAUUUUGGUUUCCUAUUGCUCUAGCUCAGUUACCACUGCCAAGAUGGGAAAUCCUUGCCUGCUCAUACCUGGAUCCAGAGUUCAAAAUCAAAAUGGCUCUAACAUAGUCUAGUGGGACUCUUAUUGUGUCUCCUGGCAGAAAUGCAUCCCAUUUGGAAGCCAGGACUUUUAUACCUUCAGUGUACAGAGUUAUGGGGACUGGAAAGUGUUCCCUAACAAGUCAGUAGGACUGGUGUUCAGUGGGGUCAUUUCUGCUUUCUCUGUUUUGUUCUUGGAACCAUGUGUUUGUUCUUAGUAGGGAUAAUAAUCCAAGCCAGUGUAUGUACUACUUCCUGAAGGAUGGCAUUUAAUCCUUAUGAAACCCUGCUUCUGAACUGGCACUUCAGUUAUACCAUUAUUACAUUGAAAGCAAACAUUAAACAGCUAGGUCAGAAACACUGAGGAAGGUAAAUAAGAAGGCUUGCACUUGGCUAUGAAAUAGCCAAGCUGAGCAGGUAAGAGAAGAGGCAGAACUCUGGGCUGUUUCAGCAGGGCCCAGGAGCCCCACCCUCUCCUGCAGCAACAUGUGCAAGGUAUUGUUGCCCUUUCCCUUAGUAAACAUCUAAAAUUUACAGGUAGUUAACCCUCAUGGAUAACCAUGCAUCUAAUUGUAACAGACUGAAUUGUGGGUAAUGGCUUCUGAGAAAGCCUGCACCUUUUUUAGGAGGGCGACCUCUCCAGACUGCCCCAGGGAUAGACAAAGGAGAACUGGUGGGCAAAGUCCAGACGCUAGAGGCAUUCCUUGGCCAUUGCCACUUGGCUCACAGUACCCUCCCAUCUUGCCUUUGCCUUCCCACCUGCUACAGUAAACCUCAAGAACUUGUUUGCCCUACCUGUCCCCUAAUGUGAAUCUCUUUACUUGAGAUUGGAGGACAUGUGGGAGGAGACAUCUCUAACACCCUCAGUAGGUUGCCUGGUGAUCGAUCUGUCAAACUGAAUGACCCUGUUGAUUCCCUGGUCAUGAAUUCACAUGUUAUCUUUUUACUGUGAAGUAGGUCCCGUUUGCAUGCUGUUGAAUUGGAUCCCAUACCUGUGGUUCAGGCAUUCUUUAAGGAACUAAGUCAUGAUAAUAUAGGCCAAGGCACUGAAAGGCAUAACAACAAGUCCAUACCCAGAAUUCACCCCUGUUGGGAUAGACCACUAGCUACUCCAAAAUGGAAAGAGUCCAUGUUAUUGACCAGGUAUCUGAUUUGUCUUGAGUAAUACUGCAGUAUUGAGAACACAGUGUAGUCCUCUGCUCCUAUCAGGUUCCUUAGAAACAGGUGUAGAUAUGGAUUGGCUUUUGUAGCUGGGAAUUUAUGUUGUGACUCACAUAUAGCCUCCUGUGCAAACAUGACAACUCAUGUGUUGUCUUAGUGACAGUUCUAGAGUAGGCCAUGACAAACACUUGCUUAACACCAACUGAUAGAAUCCUUUGUCAGUAUGAAUUUUUCUGUUUCUCUUUCAUGAUGGAUGUUCUAGUCAGAAUGAACCUGUCAUUAGCCGCUAAGCAAGACAGGCACCAUCAGGGACAGAAUCCUAGGUUGAUGCACCUUCAGGGUAUCCUUUCUUUAUUUGCAGCUAAGGCUCUAUGGCUUAAGAGCAUUCCUUGGGGCGUGUCUACUCAUUAGUUUUUGCUCUGCAAGCUCCAGAAUGUGUCUACUAUAGCCUCUUUUAAAACUAUGACCUUAAACUGAAUCUGCUCAGGGAUGUACUCCUUAACUAAGCCUGCCCCUUGCUCAGUCCUGGGCCAAUCCUUACGUGAAUGUGUAUAGGCUCUCGGAAUACAAUUCCCAUGCUUGCUUUAUUGGAAGAUGUUUGGAAAGAACACCUUUGUUCGCCCUUAUCUAUUGCAAGUAAUCUUUCUCUACUCUUUUUAUAUAUUGACUGUGAUUAUUUUGGCUUGCACUCAAUGAUAUGUGACCCCAUUAUAUUUGACUACAAUAUAAUAAAAAAGAUCCUCACUCCAUGUGACCACAUAUCUCCAUUUCUAUACCUCUCUUCCUUACCUCAUUGUCUCUGACCUUCCAGUCUUCUCUGCUGAGAAAGUCUAUACAGGAUGAUCAUGCCAUCAAACACUUGAAACUAACAACAGUAACAAUGAGAAACUGAAGUGGAAAUUUAAGGGCUCUUUGGAAAGUCAUCUGUGUUGAUGGUGUUUUGCUGGGGCAGACACGUGCAGUACCAU
ensembl:lincRNA Cep83os centrosomal protein 83, opposite strand